rnacentral:rRNA from 1 species
GAUGAACGCUGGCGGCGUGCCUAAUACAUGCAAGUCGAGCGAACGGACGAGAAGCUUUCUUCUCUGAUGUUAGCGGCUGACGUGUGAGUAACACGUGGAUAACCUACCUAUAAGACUGGUAUAACUUCGUGAAACCGGAGCUAAUACCGGAUAAUAUUUUGAACCGCAUGGUUCAAUAGUUAAAGACGGUCUUUCUUUCACUUAUAGAUGGUUCCGCGCUGCAUUAUCUAGUUGGUAAGGUAACGGCUUACCAAGGCAACGAUGCAUAGCCGACCUGAGAGGGUGAUCGGCCACACUGGAACGGAGACACGGUACAGACUCCGACGGGAGGCAGCAGUAGGGAAUCUUCCGCAAUGGGCGAAAGCCUGACGGAGCAACGCCGCGUGAGUGAUGAAGGUCUUCGGAUCGUAAAACUCUGUUAUUAGGGAAGAACAAAUGUGUAAGUAACUAUGCACGUAUUGACGGUAACUAAUCAGAAAGCCACGGCUAACUACGUG